rnacentral:rRNA from 1 species
AACGAACGCUGGCGGCAUGCCUAACACAUGCAAGUCGAACGAGACCUUCGGGUCUAGUGGCGCACGGGUGCGUAACGCGUGGGAACCUGCCCUUAGGUUCGGAAUAACUCCCCGAAAGGGGUGCUUAUACCGGAUAAUGUCUUCGGACCAAAGAUUUAUCGCCUUUGGAUGGGCCCGCGUUGGAUUAGCUAGUUGGUAGGGUAAAAGCCUACCAAGGCGACGAUCCAUAGCUGGUCUGAGAGAAUGAUCAGCCACACUGGGACUGAGACACGGCCCAGACUCCUACGGGAGGCAGCAGUGGGGAAUAUUGGACAAUGGGCGAAAGCCUGAUCCAGCAAUGCCGCGUGAGUGAUGAAGGCCUUAGGGUUGUAAAGCUCUUUUACCCGGGAUGAUAAUGACAGUACCGGGAGAAUAAGCUCCGGCUAACUCCGUG